rnacentral:rRNA from 1 species
ACGUAGGGGGCAAGCGUUACCCGGAUUUACUGGGCGUAAAGAGCGCGUAGGCGGCUGAGUAAGUCUUCUGUGAAAUCUUCCGGCUCAACUGGAAGAGGUCAGGGGAUACUGCUCGGCUUGAGGGCAGAAGAGGAAGACGGAAUUCCCGGUGUAGCGGUGAUAUGCGUAGAUAUCGGGAGGAACACCAGAGGCGAAGGCGGUCUUCUGGGCUGUGCCUGACGCUGAGGCGCGAAAGCGUGGGUAGCAAACCGG